rnacentral:lncRNA from 1 species
UUUUUGGGGAUGGGAUGAACUGGGCAGAUGAGGUUGGCGAGGGGAAGAAGCUAGGUCCAGGGUUGUGGCCACCCUCGUCCUGCAAACUCGUCUUCCCAUACUGCCUCUCAGCUCACCUCCAAUCUGGACAGCUUCUGAUCCCCCAUGAAAGGUCACGCCAUCCUCUUCCACGCUCCCACCCCUCCCCUUCAUGAAUGCUGGCUCCACGUCUGGCCUCCCUGCUGGGAGAGCCAAGGACAAGGAGUUCUGCUUUGCUGGCUGGAGCAGGUUGUGCUCGGACUGGGAGCGGCCCUUUGUGGUUUCCAAGCCUUUCACAUCUCUGUGUAGAUUUGGUUUCAGCUUUGCAGCCACUGGUGAGAUACUCCAUUUACUAAUCCGUGCCCCCACCCGCCCAGGAGAGAAGAGGAAGUCAGGGUCAGAGGUUGCAGAAAGGUUCCUCUGGCAUGCAGAGGCCAGGAACCCCAUCGGACUCCAAUCCCAGCACCUUCCCCAAACCCGAGGUCUUUCCCUGGGCUUCUCCCCAACUGUGUGAGCCAAAUGUGAGGUUAGGGCUUAGGGUGUGGACUCAGUCGUCAGGCAGAAGAUAGCUCAAGAGUCAGAUCCCUUUCCCAGUUCCAGAGGGCAAGCUCUGAGACCCCUCACUGGGGUGGGGGAUUGGAAAUAGGGUGACCAGAUAAUGGUUCAGCCAGAUUGGGACACUUUUGAGAAUGAAAGAGAGCGCCGUUACUAAUGACCCUGUGGUAACAGCCGAAAAACGGGAGGUAAGGUCACCCUAUUGUGGAACCAGUCGCCCCUCUCCUUCUCCAUCCCCACAGCCUUAGGCCCCCAGAUGGGAUGAGAAGAGCAGCUACUCACUGGACACUCUGCAGAGCUCGUUUCGUUGGUCCCUCAUGGCAACGUGCAGCUGAUCCGGUUUUUGUUCCCAUUUUAUUGACGGAGAGACUGGGGCCCAAAAGCUCUUGCCCAAGAACAUAGCUGGUCAAUGGAGUGGGAUUUGAAUGUGGGGAGACUGGC